CCGUUCUGGGCUUCUGGCUGCAUUCUAGGAAGAUCAUUCCUUAAAAGAAAUAGCCAUAUGGCUUAUAAGGGACUAUAUCUUAAGACUAUGUGUCUUCUGCAGUUCUUUGCAUAGAGUCAACGUUGAAGGACAAGCAACUUCAAAUUUCCAAGCAACAAAAUUAUGUUCGGGUGGUUUUCUGAAAGCGAGAUCUUAAGAACCACCUGUAUCAGAAUCCCAUGAAGAGCUUGUUUAGUGUGCAAAUUUACAGAUUGUCCCCCCUCAGAAAUGCUCAUUUAGGAGUUCCUGUCCUUUGCGGGGACAUGGAUGAAGCUGGAAACCAUCAUUCUCAGCAAACUAACACAGGAACAGAAAACCAAACACUGCAUGUUCUCACUCAAAAGUGGGAGUUGAACAAUGAGAACACAUGGACACAGGGAGGGGAACGUCACACACCAGGGCCUGUCGGGGGUGGGAGGUGCUAAAAGGAUAAUACCAAGGAAAACUAUGGGUGGGGGCAGUGAAUGGCCAGCAUGCCUAUAAUCCCAGCACUUGAAGCCAGGAGUUCGAGACCAGCCUGGGAAACAAAGCAAGACCCUGUGUCUAAAAAAAUUUUUUUAAAAAUAAGCUGGGCAUGGUGGCACGUGCCUAUAGUCCCAGCUACUCAGCUACUCGGGAGACC
rnacentral:lncRNA from 1 species